UACGUAGGGUCCGAGCGUUGUCUGGAAUUAUUGGGCGUAAAGAGCUCGUAGGCGGUUUGUCGCGUCUGCUGUGAAAACUGGAGGCUCAACCUCCAGCCUGCAGUGGGUACGGGCAGACUAGAGUGCGGUAGGGGAGAAUGGAAUUCCUGGUGUAGCGGUGGAAUGCGCAGAUAUCAGGAGGAACACCGAUGGCGAAGGCAGUUCUCUGGGCCGUAACUGACGCUGAGGAGCGAAAGCGUGGGGAGCGAACAGG
rnacentral:rRNA from 1 species